CUUCAGAUGGAUGAUCCCAAGCCUUCUGGCGACCUGACAGAUUGUAAGGUGCGUUGCCGGUAGGUUUGCCGGUAGACGUAAGUUUGCCGAGGGCUUGUAGCUCAGUUGGUUAGAGCGCGCGCUUGAUAAGCGUGAGGUCGGAGGUUCAAGUCCUCCCAGGCCCACCAAUAUUUGCGCUCAUAAUGUAUUGGCUUUUAGCCUUUGUGUUGUUGAGAUAAAGUUUAGGGGCCAUAGCUCAGCUGGGAGAGCACCUGCUUUGCAAGCAGGGGGCCCGUCGGUUC
rnacentral:tRNA from 1 species